rnacentral:rRNA from 1 species
UUGGNCAAUGGGCGAAAGCCUGAUCCAGCAAUGCCGCGUGAGUGAUGAAGGCCUUAGGGUUGUCAAAGCCCCAAGACCAGGGAUGAUAAUGACAGUACCAGGAGAAUAAGCUCCGGCUAACUCCGUGCCAGCAGCCCGCGGUAAUACGGAGGGAGCUAGCGUUGUUCGAAAAUACUGGGCGUAAAGCGAACGUAGGCGGUCUACUAAGUCAGGGGUGAAAACCCGGAGCUCAACACCGGAACUGCCCUUGAAACUACUAAACUAGAAUCCCGGAGAGGUCAGUGGAAUUCCGAGUGUAGAGGUGAAAUUCGUAGAUAUUCGGAAGAACACCAGUGGCGAAGGCGACUGACUGGACAGGUAUUGACGCUCAGGUUGCUAAAGCGUCGGGAGCAAACAGGAUUAGAUACCCUGGUGGUCCACACCGUAUGCGAUGAUAACCAGUUGUCGGGGCUCAUAAAGCUUGGGGGGUCCAGCAAAUGCAUUAACUUACCCG